UUAAGGCUUGGAUUAGUACAGGCUUUUUGGUUUUUAUAUAUUUCCAUGAAACUACUAAUCAGCAAAUGUAUUCUCAUGAAUAACAAUGUUUACUCAGAAGGUCCAUCAAAGGGUAUAUUAUAUUCCUUGGUUAACUAUUCAAUCCUGGUGAUGGAGAACCAUGAUUGUGAUUUUGGGAGAAAGAGACUCGGACCAAACCUUUCUUUUGGUGUUUUCUUCUUCCUUUGUCAAGAACAGGUCUGGGUUUUAUUUCAAUGUGAUGUGCACAUAUCUGUAACUAGUCAUUGUCUUGAUUUCCCAAUAGAGACUAACAGAUAGGAAGAGUAGUAUUCUGGGCAAUUGCAACUAAUUUUGGGCACUAUCAAAUUGCUAAAUUCUCCCUCAACCAAUAAGAAUAGAAUUGCUGGUAGGUCAGAUCUCAGUGCAGAAUUGAAUUAUAUGAAGCAAACUCAUUAAUCCGAAGUUUACUCUAGGAGGUUGUACAUAAUAAAUACUCGCCCAAUCAGAAUUAAUACUAGUAUCUAGAAUUCUAUAUAUCAAAUGAAGUACUGCUGGUUCUUUAAUAUUGCAGCUGCAAGUUCCACACCUUGUAACUAGGUAGCUUGACAAUCACAUAAUUCACAAGGGAAUGGGAAGGUAGUUGACUCCACCACAGUGCUGCCAUGGAUUUUUUAUUUUUUAUUUAUUUUUAAAUUUUUGGGUUCUUCUUGUUCAGAGGCAGAACUUGAGGAUGAUAUAGCAUUUGGAGGGCUGGAAAGGGUGGACAACCAUUUGAGUGAAACUGGGACUAGCAGGCUUAAGUUUUGUUCUUUCCCCAAACCAAUAUUCUUUUACUCAAAAUGAAGUGGGGAAGUAUGAAGCAUAUAUAACCUCCAUCCAGACUGUGAUUGACUAUUAGGUAUCCAUUAGGGUGUUGCACCAAGAGGUAAACCAUGCUUAGUUUUGACCACCCCAGUGAGCUAGUUGAUGAAAUUGAUCACUUCUGAAAUUUAUAUCUACCAGCAAAAUUGCAUGUUAAUGUGAAUCAGAACCAAGUUGGAAAUUGGGAUAUGGUGUCGGCUGUGAGGAGCAAUAAUGUUUAUUGUUGUUGGUGCUUGAAAACAACAAGCAUAGUGAAUGAGAAGAGAAUCUGGAAAAGCAAAGAUUACAGAAUGACUUCGCUUUUCUGUUACUGAUGUGUUUGGGGGAUUCAGGGAAACCAAAACCUGCUAUAUCAUCAGUUGGAUAGUAGCUGAAUUUUAAAACAUAGAGAGGGAGAUGUCAGGGGGAUAAACAGAUGAAGUGAUGAUAUAUGAAGCACCAACAACAUAAAAGCUGGGAUGAUGUAAUAUGUAUGGCAUGAAUUCUUGGUAUAGAGCUGUGGUUUGUUGGGAUAGAACAAGUUUAUUAUUUUUAAAUCAAUAAAAAUGAAUUGUAGAUGAAGGGUUCAUCAGUUCAUCUUAUCAUUUGCAAAAAUUCCAAAAAGUCACUGCAAAAUCUCAAAUAUUUUUAAUGAUUUUUCAGUGCAGAAGUCUUGGUUCAUCUUACAUGACCAUUAACCUGCCUCCCACAUUAAGAAUGACACCCCUUAAACAGUGCUUCAGUUUCAUAUGUCAAGUUGUUAAUUAGCU
rnacentral:lncRNA from 1 species